UACAGAGGUCUCAAGCGUUGUUCGGAUUCAUUGGGCGUAAAGGGUGCGUAGGCGGCGCGGUAAGUCGGGUGUGAAAUCUCGGGGCUUAACUCCGAAACUGCAUUCGAUACUGCCGUGCUUGAGGACUGGAGGGGAGACUGGAAUUUACGGUGUAGCGGUGAAAUGCGUAGAUAUCGUAAGGAAGACCAGUGGCGAAGGCGGGUCUCUGGACAGUUCCUGACGCUGAGGCACGAAGGCCAGGGGAGCAAACGGG
rnacentral:rRNA from 1 species